UACGAAGGGGGAGCUAGCGUUGCUCGGAAUUACUGGGCGUAAAGCGCACGUAGGCGGAUUGUUAAGUCGGGGGUGAAAUCCUGGAGCUCAACUCCAGAACUGCCUUCGAUACUGGCGAUCUCGAGUUCGGGAGAGGUGAGUGGAACUGCGAGUGUAGAGGUGAAAUUCGUAGAUAUUCGGAGGAACACCAGUGGCGAAGGCGGCUCACUGGUCCAUUACUGACGCUGAGGUGCGAAAGCGUGGGGGAGCAAACAGGAUAGAAACCCU
rnacentral:rRNA from 1 species